AAGGUAAGUGUGAGCUGCUUCCUUUUGGCUUUUAACUCGGAUUUUCCUUAUUCCAUAAAAGUGUCCUGAAGUCAACUUCUGUCUCCAAUGUACUCUUCAAAUUCUAUUUUUUCCUGUGACUGGAGGAGAACCUAAUGCACUGAGGAACUUCCUUAAUCAUUUAUUUUACUUUCUCUGCAGAUGUGAAGAUUCCCAGUGGAGAUCUUUUCAGAGAAUCCUCUGAUCAUGACACACCUGAAGGACGUACCUCAACCACCAUGAGGGGUAACAUGGAAGGACUUUUCAAGAAAGCUCCAGGGUGUCUCCUGAGCUCAGUGCAACAGGCAGGGCAGUCUUUACCAAGGCCACUAGGCAGCAGAGACAUCCGGGCUUAGAGGUGAAGAGCCGCCCGCCUCGUCAUCCGGGACUCGAGAGCAGCCCCGCCCCCCUGCGCUUCCCGUUGGCCCAGCGCCGCGAAGCUCCGCCCCCCGUCGAGAGCCAAUCACAGAGGGCCGCCCACCCCAGUCUUGCCCGAGGCCCAUUCUGCAGAUUGAGUGGAGGGAGCGGCAGAGAAUCGAGCCCAGACCCCGGAAAACUACCCUGAGAGGCCGGCGAGAACAGCAGCUCCACUCCCGUGUUCCUGUGAAAUCCAAGCCAUAAAAAGGAUGAAGGCGGAGGAAGCUAUACAAGCACCUGGUUAUAGGCUGCACUGCACACCACUCCUCUCACCAUUACUCCCAUCCCAGCAUCCAGCAUCAUACGCAGUUGGCCUUCUGUAUCCGCGGACACAGAGGGCCCGCUGUACCAAGCCAUUUUAUAUAUGGGUCUUGCACAGCCACGGAUUUUGGUAUCUACAGGAGUCUUGGAAUCAAUCCCUCUCAGAGCCCAAGGAAUGACUGUAACCACACCAGCUCUGGAACUCACCCACGACUAAGGCCUGGCCUGUGGGCAGAAACAGGAGCAUCUAGACCCAAUCUGUUACCCUCUUGGUUGGCACCGCUUUCGCAGCGCUUGUUAGUUCCUUGUUACAGGAGGUAAUGGUUUACUCUGAAGACCUCGAUUAAAAAUCUGGCUUCAUCACCAA